rnacentral:rRNA from 1 species
UGGGGAAUCUUGCGCAAUGGGCGAAAGCCUGACGCAGCCAUGCCGCGUGAAUGAUGAAGGUCUUAGGAUUGUAAAAUUCUUUCACCGGGGACGAUAAUGACGGUACCCGGAGAAGAAGCCCCGGCUAACUUCGUGCCAGCAGCCGCGGUAAUACGAAGGGGGCUAGCGUUGCUCGGAAUUACUGGGCGUAAAGGGAGCGUAGGCGGACUGUUAAGUUAGAGGUGAAAGCCCAGGGCUCAACCUUGGAAUUGCCUUUGAUACUGGCAGUCUUGAGUACGGAAGAGGUAUGUGGAACUCCGAGUGUAGAGGUGAAAUUCGUAGAUAUUCGGAAGAACACCAGUGGCGAAGGCGACAUACUGGUCCGUUACUGACGCGGAGGCUCGAAAGCGUGGGGAGCAAACAGG